UACGUAGGGGGCAAGCGUUGUCCGGAAUCAUUGGGCGUAAAGCGCGUGUAGGCGGCCCGGUAAGUCCGCUGUGAAAGUCGGGGGCUCAACCCUCGAAUGCCGGUGGAUACUGUCGGGCUAGAGUGCGGAAGAGGCGAGUGGAAUUCCUGGUGUAGCGGUGAAAUGCGCAGAUAUCAGGAAGAACACCCGUGGCUAAGGCGGUUCUCUGGGACGGUACUGACGCUGAGAAGCGAAAGCAUGGGGAGCGAACAGG
rnacentral:rRNA from 1 species